UGAUAGGGCAAUUUUAAUUUUCUUAUUUAUGCGUCCCUACAUUUUCUCAAUUUUGUACAAUGGCCAUGUAUAUUUUCUAUAAAAGAAAACCAAACUAAUAUAAUUUUUUCUUUUUUUUUUUUUGAGACAGUGUCUUGCUCUGUCACCCAGGCUGGAGUGCAGUGGCACGAUCUCGGCUCCCUGCAAUCUCCACCUCCCAGAUUCAAGAGAUUCUCAUGCCUCAGCUUCCUGAGUAGCUGGGACUACAGGUGUACGCCACCACGCCACACCAAGUUUUUGUAUUUUCGGUAGAGACAGGGUUUCACUCUGUUGGCCAGGCUGUUCUCAAACUCCUGACCCCAUAUGAUCCACCCACCUCGGCCUCCCAAAGUGCUAGGGUUAUAGGCAUGAGCCACCAUGCCUGGCCUAUAAAUUUUUUUUCAGAAAAAAAAAUUCAGGUCUCACAUUUUUUGGAAGCCUUCCUUAACACUUCACUACCACCAUCUAAAGUGCAUACCCUCACCCUCGGACACAAUGCCUGUCACACAGUAGCUACUCAAUAAAGCUUUACUGAAUUACGUUCAUCUCUUGCUGGAGUAUUCCCUAUGACCUGCAUGGAAAGAGGCCAGAAACAAUUGGAAGGAAGAUGCUUCACAAGGAAUACUGGAAGUUUUCUUAUCUCAUGACUGCUGGUGAGGCUUUACCCCUCUCUCAGGAAUUUAACAUCUCCUGAAGUUGCUGACCUCUACCUUUCAUAACUAAGAGCAGGCUGUGGCAGGUGACCAAGGUCCAUUUCCACGGUAAGAAGGCGGGGGACACGACCGCUCCGUGAGUCAGGUGUGACCGGUCACCUAAUGAGCUGCUCCAACCAGCUCAUUGUCCUACGAAUUUCAUCCCGAAGAAUUCUGCACUCGGGAUAAUUGUGUACUUGUUUCUUCAAUUCACAAUUCAGCUUCUGCUCCCAUUUCCUCCAAAGUGACUUGGACACCAUAUUGGCAAAACCACAGGAUUUGCCUCUUGGUUUAUUAUCUUGGCAAAUGACCCUAUGUUCCAGCUCCCCUUGGCUUACCAGUCUCCACAGUUGCCCUCCAAGGGUUCUCUAGGUCUACCCAUCCCCCUCCUAGAGGCUACCUCUUGACCCCAACACCCAGUGGUCUCCUCAGCACUCUAGGAGGGGCCAGCAUGUCCAGAAUGACUGAGUCUGUUGUGAUCAGAGAUUGCCUCUACGUGUAAUCUCAGAAGGUCACACCUGUAGAAGCGUCCUGGUCAUCUCUAGACAUUGAAGACCACAGGUCUUGACAUGCAUCCUGUGUGACCUUGAUUAGGUCUUUCCACUUCUCUAGGUUUUGCUUUCCUAAUCUAUUCAGUGGCAAAACAGACUGGGAUCAGGUAAAACUACAGGCCAUGGAUAUGCUGAGGAAAAUGAAAAAAUACCAGGACAUUUUCAAGGUCAUCUUAGUGCUAUGGCUGCUGGGCCUGCCUGCAGACUGGGAAGUUGAGGAUAACACGACAAGACAAAUGUAAAAAUGCCCAGAAUGGAGUUAUGAAUAUAGCGGUGGUCGAGCAUGUGGAGGUGGAAACCUCUAAAUGACCACAAGUGAGGAGGAAAGAAGGGCUUCCCUGCUCAGGGGUGAGGGGGUGGCCCCCUGAAUGGAGCUCCCUGGA
ensembl:lncRNA